AUGUCAACUACUAGCUCCUGUAGUUUCUGUGGCUCGCACGACUCGUGGAGACACUCCCUCCUUGAGUGUUCAGUUGCACGGUGUGUAUGGGCCUUGGAGGACGGCGAAAUGGUGGAUCGGUUGAUAGCUAUGAUGGACCCAAAUGCAAAACAGUGGCUCUUUACCCUCAUGGCGUCCUUGACUCAUAGCAGCUUCGUUCGAGUGGUGGUGACUUUGUGGGCCAUCUGGACGGCUCGGCGAAAAUAUAUACACGGAGCCCCUCGAACAACUCCGGCGGUACAUGCAAGACCAAAAGCACCUCCGGAGGGAUUUGUGAAGAUCCAUGUGGACGGGGCGGUCUACCGAAAUCGACGUGGGACGGCGGCAGCGGUAUGCCGUGACCAGGCGGGCAAUUAUCUGGGAAGUUCGGCGUUGGUCUUACCAGGGAUCACCGACCCACCCACAUUGGAGGCGAUUGCUGGUAGAGAAGGACUGGCUUUGGCGGAUGAUCUUCUCUUGGGGAACCUAAUAGUCGCGUCCGACUGCAAGCAGGUUGUUGAUGAUAUCAAGCUUCGUAACGAGGGUUCUUAUGGUUCGGUGAUUACAGAAAUUUUACUUCGCUCUUCGGACUUUAAUUGUAAUUUUGUUUUUGAAAGCCGUUCUUCAAACGGCGAUGCUCAUAGGUUAGCUAAGCAUGCACUAUCUCUCGGUGUGGGGCGCCAUGUUUGGUUGGCCAACCCUUACAAUCCGAAUUGUAUACCACUCCAUGUGGAAUUUGAUCAAUAA
rnacentral:rRNA from 1 species